UGUGUGUUGGGUGCUCAUCCCGCAUGGAAGGAAGGGAGCCACUUUGCAGCCCCAGAGGGGCGCAGGGAAGGGGCGAGCUCUGCUGGAUCACCUGUAGUCAGUGCUCUGCAGUUCAGAAAUGGGUUCCUGCUGACCGGAAGCGGCCUGCCAGUUGUAAGCUGCUUCCUGCCCAAGUCACACUGGGUUCUUUUGGCCUGGCAUCAGUUGGUUAUUUUGAGAAUUUUCUUUGUCUAAACUGGAAAACAAUCUUCUCGAUUGUUUUGUGGCCAGUGGCCCCUUGUCCUCAGUGUGGGUGCGAUGCUGAGCGUGUCACAUGUUCAACUGUUGCUUAAAGCCCAAGCUUGUUUACUUGUAUUUGUGAAAAUGGCCAUUUUUAUGCAUAUUUAUUUUUCUCCACUUGUAUUUAUUUAAAAUGGAGCAAUAUUUUCUUGAUCACAGAUAUUUUGUAAUGAAUGACUUCCUCUUUGGGGCUUUCUGUGCGGGCUCUUCCGUCAUUACAUUGGCUGCAAUGUAGUGUUUUCAUUCCAGUCUGUAAAUUACCUUUUUGGAAAAAAGAAAUUUGUAUUGUUUUAAAAAUCCCUGGGGUUCUGGGGAUUUUCUUUG